UGUGUCUGUGUGUAUGUCUGUGUGUAUGUGUGUGUGUAUCUAUGUGUAUGUCUGUGUGUAUGUGUGUGUCUGUGUGUAUGUAUGUGUGUGUGUGUGUCUGUGUGUAUGUAUGUGUAUCUGUGUGUGUAUCUAUGUGUAUGUAUGUGUGUGUGUGUCUGUGUGUGUGUGUCUGUGUGUAUCUAUGUGUAUGUGUGUGUGUCUGUGUGUGUAUGUAUGUGUAUCUGUGUCUCUGUGUGUGUAUGUAUGUGUAUCUGUGUGUGUGUCUGUGUGUGUAUCUGUGUGUCUGUGUGUAUGUAUGUGUAUCUGUGUGUGUGUGUGUAUGUAUGUGUAUCUGUGUGUCUGUGUGUAUGUAUGUGUAUCUGUGUGUGUGUCUGUGUGUGUAUGUGUAUCUGUGUGUCUGUGUGUAUGUAUGUGUAUCUAUGUGUAUGUGUGUGUCUGUGUGUGUAUGUAUGUGUAUCUGUGUGUCUGUGUGUAUGUAUGUGUGUCUGUGUGUAUGUAUGUGUGUAUGUGUGUGUGUGUGUGUCUGUGUGUGUAUGUAUGUGUGUCUGUGUGUGUGUCUGUGUGUCUGUGUGUAUGUAUGUGUGUCUGUGUGUCUGUGUGUCUGUGUGUGUGUCUGUGUGUCAGUGUGUGUGUGUGUCUCUCCAGGCCCGCGUCUCGCACAGCCGCCGUGCGGACCGCAGGGCGCUG
rnacentral:lncRNA from 1 species